UGGAAGGUGGCUCAGUGGUAGAGUGCUUGCCUUGCAUGCAUGAGGCCCUGGGUU
rnacentral:tRNA from 1 species